rnacentral:tRNA from 1 species
AAUCUUAUAUUCAAUAAUGAUAUUAAAUUGCAAAUUUAAAGGUUAAUUAAAAUUUAAUUUAAGAUUU